GGGGAUAUAACUCAGCCAGUAGAGUGUUUGCCUGGCAUGCACAGGGCACUGGGUUCAAUCCCCAGUACUGCCA
rnacentral:tRNA from 1 species